rnacentral:rRNA from 1 species
UACGUAGGGGGCUAGCGUUGUCCGGAAUCAUUGGGCGUAAAGAGCGCGUAGGCGGCUAGAUAAGUCCGGUGUGAAAGUCACAGGCUCAACCUGUGAAUGCCGCUGGAAACUGUCUGGCUAGAGUCCGGAAGGGGCGAGUGGAAUUCCCGGUGUAGCGGUGAAAUGCGCAGAUAUCGGGAGGAACACCAGUAGCGAAGGCGGCUCGCUGGGCCAUUCCUGACGCUGAGACGCGAAAGCUAGGGGAGCGAACAGG